AAUGUAGACCCUGCCUGCUGCUUGAUUGACCUAUGGAAAAAUUUUGACACUCCAAUCAGCUCUGAAUAUGCUAAGCAUACCCCAGAACAGCAAAGUCAAAACAGAAAAUACCUUCUCAAAUGUGGCCUCUUCAGGGAAAAUUAUCUGAUCCUAUUAUGGCAUAUGUCAAGGAAAGAAGAAAGGUACAGUACUUUUGACCAAAACAGGAAACAGUUAGACCAAUAAUUUAGCAGGCCAUGGAGGGAUGAACAUGAAGCAAGCAUUACAACCUCAAUAGUCAGACUAAAGCAAAUUUGAAUUUUUGGACGAGUACAAGAAUUCUAGAA
rnacentral:lncRNA from 1 species